rnacentral:rRNA from 1 species
AUUGAACGCUGGCGGCAGGCCUAACACAUGCAAGUCGAGCGAGCGGCGGACGGGUGAGUAAUGUCUGGGACACUGCCUGAUGGAGGGGGAUAACUACUGGAAACGGUAGCUAAUACCGCAUACCAUCGGAUGUGCCCAGAUGGGAUUAGCUAUUAGGUGGGGUAACGGGUCACCUAGGCGACGAUCCCUAGCUGGUCUGAGAGGAUGACCCGCCACACUGGAACUGAGACACGGUCCAGACUCCUACGUGAGGCAGCAGUGGGGAAUAGUGCACAAUAGGCGCAAGCCUGAUGCAGCCAUGCCGCGUGUAUGAAGAAGGCCUUCGGGUUGUAAAGUACUUUCAGCGGGGAGGCGUUACCCGCAGAAGAAGCACCGGCUAACUCCGUGCCAGCAGCCGCGGUAAUUC